rnacentral:lncRNA from 1 species
GUUUUCUGAAGCCUGUGGUCAGCAUGAGGAGCAAUGUCAGCAGGGCUGGGCUCAUCCACCAGGGGCAUGACUCACCAGCUGGUGGGCAGGCGAGGUUGCUCUCCUGUGAAAGAGCCCAGGGCACCCAGAAGAGGCCCUUUUGAAGGUGAGUGCCCAGGAAUGCCUGGGGGAUCAGGAAGGCACAGUUGAGGUGAGUGUUGCUAGGCUGAUAUUCUAUGCAAAUGACUCAAAGGAGAAUUUAGACCUUCAGGGGAAUGAUGCUUAUUAUACAAGGGACAUCAGGAACUGCACUGGCUGGGUGGGAGACUGGCAUGGAGCCAUGUUACCCAGGGUCAGCAGGAUGAGGGGGUGUGGAGCACAGAGGUGUGACCCUGGGAACAGCUGAGUGGAGUGAGAACAGGUCGGAGCAGCAGGUUUCCCAGAGGUGGACUUACGUCCAGUCCCAGGGUGAAUAGGUGAGGGCAGGAAGAGGAGCUGGGCUCUGCCUCAAGGUUCUCAGCUAGAAGGGAGCCUGUGUAUGUUUUGUCAAGCAACCUGCUAUUAUGCCCUGAGGUACUCUCACAGGCAGCACAGAGCUGCCCAUGCCACUGAGCUGGGCUUCCUGCCUGUCCAUUCAUCCCAAAUGUAUUUUUCCACAGCAGGGCUCCUAGAGGGGCCGUCCUCGCCUUAGAUCCCGAGUGUGAAAAUCUUCAAAGCUUGAUACCAGGAUGUUGGAGCCCGACACUGGCCACCCUCUCUGACUUGCCUCUCCGAGGUGCUUCUUGUGCUUCCGCCAUGAUGGCCAGGCAGUCCUGAGCUCUCUGGCCUCCCUGCCUCUGCUUAGGCUUUUCCUUGCAGUUGGAUCUCAAUAUCCCUCAUGCACUUUACUAGUCGUUGCCAAAUCCUUAGCACAGAAGUGGACUCGCCAUGAGUACUGAGGCCUUUCCCUGGUGUGGUCCCAUCUGCAGACCUGGAGGCACCAUGGUGAGGUCAGUUCCCAUGGAUGUGUUUUGUAAAAUUUGCAAAUGGAAGAUAAACAGAUUAAGACCUCUGUCUCUUUAUACCCAACUUUGCCUCCACACACUUCAUUAGUUUCUUGUGGUGUUGAAGUGACUUUGAACUUUUGGGGGAUCAGGCUUAGGGAAAAUUAAGUUGGGGAGACAUUUAAUUUAGAUCUGGUAGAACACUGAUGCAAUUUCCAGACUUUUCGGCAUAGGCUGAGUUAUUGCUAGCUCUUCUAUGUAGACAUGGCUUCCAGGAAUUCUCCUCCCCCUGCUCUGGGCCGAUUCAUGUGGCAUCGCUACAUGGAGUUCAAGGUAAUCGUGCCUGAGGCAUCUGUCCCUGAAGCCAGGUCACUAGGGAAACAGAAACAGAACCUGCAGUGUGUGUGGCCCAUCUGGUGAGUGGACCUGAAAGGAGAAAAUUCCAUUUUCAUCUCGCCCCAUGAAAAGGUUAAUUCUUCUGUCAGGAAUCUGCCGGACGCUGCAAACACAAUUAGGGAUGCACAGUGGCCUGAGGGGUGAG